GCGGGGCGCGCGCGCGGGCGGGAGUGGGCGCGCGCGGGGAAAGGCCCGAAAACACCUUAGUUUGCACCGAGAGACCAUUUGCAGCGGAACCCGAAAGUUUGCAGGAGGAAGCGAGUGCGCGGCAAGCGAGCGGGCAAGGGGCAGCGGCAGCGGCGCCGGGGACCAUGGUGCUGCCGGCGCCUCCUCCGCGGGCGUGAAGGCGGCGCUCCCACUCCCUUCCCGGACUCCGCGGUGUCCCAGGAGCUUCUGCUGACAAUUCCAGUUUCCGAACGAAACAUUUCGGCAAUGGUGAGGGCUUCAGUCCCUUCUCUGAUUUGCUGUCAACCAUGAACGGAUGGAUGUGAUGCCUGCUAGCCCACAGGUAUCCCUCUGUGUGUUGCAGUCCUGUGGCAUUAUGCAUGCCCCCUCCCAGUGACCCCAGGCUUUUUAUGGCUGUGAGACGUGUUACAAUUUCAGGGGUAAGACGUGACCUUUUGAGGUGACUAUAACUGAAGAUUGCUUUACAGAAGCCAAAAAAGGUUUUUGAGUCAUGAUGCAAGAAUCUGGGACUGAGACAAAAAGUAACGGUUCAACCAUCCAGAAUGGGUCGAGCGGCAGCAACCACUUGCUAGAGUGUGGCAGUCUUCGGGAGGGGCGGUCCAACGGAGAGACGCCGGCCGUGGACAUCGGGGCGGCCGACCUCGCCCACGUCCAGCAGCAGCAGCAGCAACAGCGUCUAAUAGGCCACCAGACCUCUAGGGUUCCUACCAGUUGGCUUAAGAGACUAAUUUUUGAGUCCUCGGGCGUUAGAAGCCUUGGGAGUCCCCUUGUGGGGAGCAUUUGCUGAGACUCAGAUUGGGGGCCUCUGGCUACUCCCUCCCAGCCCCCAGUGUGUCUGCCUAACCUUUAACUGUUUUGAAUAAAAUUACUCUUUGGAGUAAAUGAU